rnacentral:tRNA from 1 species
UCUUCUAUAGCUCAGUUGGUAGAGCGGGUGACUGUUAAUCACUAGGUCGGCGGUUCAAGUCCGUCUGGAGGAG